GACGUCAAGUCAGCAUGCCUUUAUAUCCUGGGCUACACACACGCUACAAUGGCCAACACAAUAGGUUGCUAAGCCGCGAGGUGGAGCCAAUCCAUAAAGUUGGUCUCAGUUCAGAUUGUAGGCUGCAACCCGCCUGCAUGAAGAUGGAGUUGCUAGUAACCGCAGGUCAGCUAUACUGCGGUGAAUACGUUCCCGGGGCUU
rnacentral:rRNA from 1 species